UGGGGGCUUAGCUCAGAUGGGAGAGCGCCUGCUUUGCACGCAGGAGGUCAUCGGUUCGAUCCCGUUAGCCUCCAU
rnacentral:tRNA from 4 species